CCAAUAGCGUAUAUUAAAGUUGUUGCAGUUAAAAAGCUCGUAGUUGAAUUUCGGGGUUAGUAGGUUGGUCAUGCCUCUGGUAUGUACUGGUCUCACUGAUUCCUCCUUCCUGAUGAACCGUAAUGCCAUUAAUUUGGUGUUGCGGGGAAUUUGGACUGUUACUUUGAAAAAAUUAGAGUGUUUCAAGCAAGCUAACGCUUGAAUACAUUAGCAUGGAAUAAUGAAAUAGGAUGCUCGAUCCUAUUUGGUUGGUUUCUAGGAUUGACGUAGUGAUUAAUAGGGAUAGUUGGGGCAUGAGUAUCCAAUUGUCAGAGGUGAAAUUCUUGAAUUUAUUGAAGACUAACUACUGCGAAAGCAAUUGCCAAGAAUGUUUUCAUUUAUCAAGAACGAAAGUUAGGGGAUCGAAGACGAUCAGAUACCGUCGUAGUCUUAACCAUAAACUAUGCCGACUAGGGAUCGGAUGAUGUUAAUUUUUUAAUGACUCAUUCGGCGCCUUACG
rnacentral:rRNA from 1 species